AUGUGCCGCUCGUACACUCCGGUUCCUCCGCGCCGUCCGCACCCACCUGACGACUGCUCGCUACGUUCUGGUAGCC
rnacentral:sRNA from 2 species